rnacentral:lncRNA from 1 species
CAUAAUUAAGGCUGGCGUUGAGUCUCAAGAACAAGACAAAAACUUCAGUUCUGUCCAGCAACCACUGACACCCCACAGGGAAUCAGCCUCUGGCGCCAAGGAGACUUCUUAGCUAAUCAUAAUAAGAGGCUUCUCUGAAUCAACCUGGGGGAUUAGUAGGGGGUGUCACAGCUGGAUCACCUCCCUAUCCAAAGUAAACUUCCUCCAUAAGGAAUUUCUGCAGAACAAACCAAACCCACUUGAAAACCUUAAGAAAAUGCUAAACCCCAAAUAACUUUAUAAAUUCUGAAAUUACAUGGCUCAGUGAAGCACUCAGAAUUUCACGAGAAUCUGCCCUUCAUGCCUCUGGUAUACAUACUUUUCAUAUUCAUUUUAACCACAUCAAGAAAUCCCCUA